rnacentral:lncRNA from 1 species
AGGCAGUAGUCAAGUUGUUCCGGUGUCAUUCCUAGGAAGGAAGAAGAUUCUUUGGUUUGUCUGAAUGGCCAGGGAGUCUGCGGCUGGAUUCAGAAAGCCAUCCACAGCAAGAGAGUGGAGAUGUUCUAUCUCUCUUCAAGAUUAUCCUGGGAGAGAAGGAAAAGAAUUUGUUACUCGGGAGACUGCAUUAUUUAACACCAACCUGUUCCUUUUCGGUCCAACCUAAGAUGGCUGCAAUACUACAAAUGUGCCAGCAGAUGACGCUACAGGCUACAAUAUUCUAUGUCUGACUUUUACUUGAAAUUUCCUCAUUUGGGCAUUCUGCAGACUCCUUAGAAUUCCUGCAAAUAUUUGGGGAGAAUCCAAGAGAAAAGUGAAAAAAAAUUUAAAAAUCAUACUAUAACAGUGGUAGAAAAUUUAAAGUUAUAUGACUAGUAAUAAACACAAAACUUAGUUGAAAUCCGUUUUUAACCGGGGAAAAGGAGGGUGAUUUUGUGCUAAGCUGCCCAGGUAGCAGCAGAGUUUUGCUGCUCCGUGUGGCCCUCACCUUCAUUCUGUUCAGCAAAGCCUUGCACUGCAUCACAGAUGGGACUCUGAGGAAUGGAAGAACGAACUUGAGAUCCAGAGGACGUUGCUUAGCUGUGAUAUCCUGGACUCAUCAUUUAACCUCCUCGGGCUUUGAAUAAUAACACCCAUCAUGCCCUGCUGUGAAGACGAGAAAGAGACAAGGGGUGAAAACAAAGAUUAGCGGUCACCAUUAACUAUCAUUCUUUCUUGCUCAGUUAGAAACAUUUGAAAAACACUGACCAGUUUAAGUUUUUCUAAAAAAAAAAGGAACUGGGGACUUCAGAGGCUGUGUGAUUGGGUUCUCAAAUCAAGUUUCACAAUUUCACAAUACAAUACAAUUAUUUAUGUGAAACCAGACACUCCACUCCUAAUCUUUUACAGGUGCACCUUGCUC